rnacentral:rRNA from 1 species
AUGACAAAACCAAAAAGAGCCGGGGGUAUCGGAUUCAGAGACAUAUAUUUGUUUAACCAAGCACUUCUGGCCAAGCAAGGAUGGAGGCUCUUACAAAACCCAGACAGUCUGUGUGCGAGAGUCCUAAAACCUAAAUACUAUCCAAAUGGGAAUCUGUUGGAUACGGUGUUUGCAAAUGAUGCUUCUCCGGUUUGGAGAGCUAUUGAGUUUGGCUUG